AGGGUUAUAGUUAAUAAUAACAUUUGAGUUGCAUUCAAAAAGUACUACCUACCAGUAGUUAACCUU
rnacentral:tRNA from 1 species